AGCUAUGCAAGCAUGGCACAUACUUUCCAAUCCACAGGGGUUAAUGCAGCGAACCCUUCUUGCGAAACACUGCACGAAGCAAAAUUAUAUGAAGGUAACGAGCAAAACCACUGAUUCCUGGACAUGGAAGUGUAUACUGCGAGGAAGGAUAUAUGUAGUCAAAGAAUAGAUAUUCAAAUCUGGGAUGGAAAUAGAGUGUCAAGAUUCAAGCAUGGUUUGGUAUUGCAACAGUAUGCGGAGCAAGUAUUGCCAAGUUUGUCGAUUACUUGCAUAAGACAGCAGGGUCAGUUAUCAUGGCAUAAUACUAGCAUCCAAGAACAAUUACAUGACUCUUGGGCAACUGAAAUGCCUUCCAAGUCAUUCUCAGUCCUGAAAUCCGGGGAUCGUUUUGUCUAGAAAUAUAGUUAUAAUGGGAAAUUCAGUGUUAAGGAAGCGCAACUUCCUUCACCAACCUCAGACAAGCCAGGUAUCUCUGAUUAAUUGGCGUGUUUUCUGGAAAAUCAAGCUUCCAUACUCUUUUU
rnacentral:lncRNA from 1 species